CCUCAAAAGAAGCAGAGGGGGCUUAGUGGUGGGGUGACUGCGUACCUUUUGUAUAAUGGGUCAGCGACUUAUAUUCUGUAGCAAGGUUAACCGUAUAGGGGAGCCGGAGGGAAACCGAGUCUUAAUUGGGCGUUAAGUUGCAGGGUAUAGACCCGAAACCCGGUGAUCUAGCCAUGGGCAGGUUGAAGGUUGGGUAACACUAACUGGAGGACCGAACCGACUAAUGUUGAAAAAUUAGCGGAUGACCUGUGGCUGGGGGUGAAAGGCCAAUCAAACCGGGAGAUAGCUGGUUCUCCCCGAAAGCUAUUUAGGUAGCGCCUCGUGAAUUCAUCUCCGGGGGUAGAGCACUGUUUCGGCUAGGGGGCCAUCCCGGCUUACCAACCCGAUGCAAACUGCGAAUACCGGAGAAUGUUAUCACGGGAGACACACGGCGGGUGCUAACGUCCGUCGUGAAGAGGGAAACAACCCAGACCGCCAGCUAAGGUCCCAAAGUCAUGGUUAAGUGGGAAACGAUGUGGGAAGGCCCAGACAGCCAGGAUGUUGGCUUAGAAGCAGCCAUCAUUUAAAGAAAGCGUAAUAGCUCACUGGUCGAGUCGGCCUGCGCGGAAGAUGUAACGGGGCUAAACCAUGCACCGAAGCUGCGGCAGCGACACUCAGGUGUUGUUGGGUAGGGGAGCGUUCUGUAAGCCUG
rnacentral:rRNA from 1 species